GGCUGCUGGCUGGGCUGGGCCGGACCGGGCUGGGGCCUGUGCCCGCGGUCAUGACCCCGCCGACCGGGCCCCGCGCCCAGCGGCUCAGGAGGCGUCGCCCUUCCGCCGCGGCGCCCCUCGGCCCGCCCGGCCCGCUCCCUUCCAGCUCGGAGCCGCGAGGACUCGGCGCCUAGGGAAGGAAUGCGUUAUCCAGAAGUGAAGGACUCCACUUUGAAGGUGGGGAUGUCUGUCCCCUUCCUGGGACGCCGAUGCUCCCUCGAAGGUCUCUGGUCCGGAUUGACGCUCUGUGUCUUCUUUCAAACCCUCUUCUACUUGGUGUACGUCUGGAGGAUGAACUGGACCAGAGCGGCAGAGCAGGAGCAACUUGGAAUAGGUAGAAGAAGGAAUGAGUGAACCUGAAGAUGGGACUCUGCUGACACCAGCUGUGUGUCUACAACUCAGUUCAGGUCAGUUCUGAACCCAAGUUAGGAGCAUCAGAUGCCACAAGCUGAAGGGCAGUGUCCUCAGCAGACUGCGCUCCCUUUAGGUACCAGCCACAAGUGGGAUGCCAGGAUACCCACACUUCUGCCCGGCUGGCUAGACUAUAAAUUUGGCAUUUCCCAUAGCCUCCUCCCUUCUGUACGUGGCUAGGGUGUGUGACAGAACACACUGAAAAUCCUAUACUUAUGAUUAUGAAUUUUAUAAAAGAAACAACUGAGGAACACCAGAUACGGUAAGUAAGGCAAGGUCUGGGGGCCAGAGAUGAUGCAGAGCUUCCAGGCCCUCUCCUCGCGGGGUCUGGGCCUAUCACCCUCCCAGCCUAUCGAGUGUUCACCAAGCAGGAAGCUCCCCUGGGUUUUAUAGUCCAGAAUUUUUAUAUGGAGUUUUAUUAUUGAUAGAUAGAUAUGAUUGAUUACACCAUUGACCAUGUGAUUGAACUCACUCUCUAGCCUCUCUCGGGGAGAUCAGGGAGGUGAGGCUGAAAUUUCCAACCCUCUACAUGUGUGGUUGGUUUUUUAGUGACCAGCCCCCAUCCUGCAGCUAUCUAAGGGCCCCUGCAUGUGUCACCUCAUGCUACAAACACUCCUAUCGCUCAGGAAAGUCCAAACGUUUUUAAAGCUGUGUGCCAGGAACUGGGGGUCAGAAUCCAGAUAUACUCUUUAUUAUAUCAGAAUAGGUCACUUGAGAUUAGCCAGUAUGAGGAGCAGAAAGGAAAAAAAGGAUUGAAGAAAAAUAAGCAGAGCCUAAAGACCUAUAAGACACCAUCCAGUGUAGCCACAUAUUCAUAAUGGGAGCACCAGAAGAGGACAAAAGGAGAAGGAAUAUUUGAAAAAGGUCAGAAACUUCCCCAAGUCGAUGAAAUACUUGGAUCUACAAAUCCAGUAACCUCAAUUAGCUCAAAGCAAGAUAAAUUCAGAGAGAUCCACACUGAGAGGUAGUAUAAUCAAGUCGUACAAAGGGAGAAUUUUUUUUUUAUUUAUUUAUUUUUUUUUGGCGGUACAAGGGCCUCUCACUGUUGUGGCCUCUCCCGUUGCAGAGCACAGGCUCCGGACGCGCAGGCCCAGCGGCCAUGGCUCACGGGCCCAGCUGCUCCGCAGCAUGUGGGAUCUUCCCGGACCGGGGCACGAACCCGUGUCCCCUGCAUCGGCAGGCCGAUUCUCAACCACUGCGCCACCAGGGAAGCCCACAAAGGGAGAAUUUUGAAAGCAGGAAAGAAGUGACUCAUCAUGUAGAAGGGAGUCCUCAGUAAGACUGACAGCCACUUUCCCAUCAAAUACCAUGGAGGCCAGAAGAUGGGGGGAUGACAGAUUUAAAGUUCUGAAAGAAAAAACUGUCAACCAGAAAUCCUUUAUUUGGCAGAACAAUCCAGAGGACAGGAAUAUUAAAACACUCCCAGAUAAACAAGAGCUGAGAAAAUGUGUCACUAGUAGGCCUGCACUAUAAGAAAUGCAAAGGGGGGGAGUCUUUUAGGUUGAAAUGAAGGGGCCUUAGGUAAUAAUACAAAGCAAUGUGAAGAAAUGAAAAUCACUGAUAAAAGUAGCUACAUAGUCAAAUAUAAAAGCCAAUAUUAUUAUUAUAUUUGUCUCUCCCUUUGUUCUCUAUAAUUUAAAAGAUAAAUAUAAAAUUAUAAUUAUAGGGAAUUCCCUGGCAGUCCAGUGGUUAGGACUCUGUGCUUCCUCUCCCAAGGGCCCUGGUUUGAUCCCUGGUCAGGGAACUAAAAUCCCACAAGCCACACGGUGGAGCCAAAAAAAAAAAAGUUAUAAUUAUAAACAUAAUAGGCACACAAUAUAUAAAGAUUUAAUUUGUGACAAUAACAUAAAGGAGGGACUCAGGUCUAUUUAGGAGCGGAGUUUUUGUAUAUAGCCAUAUGUUGGACAUACUGCAGGUUCAGUUCCUGACCACCACGAUAAAGUAGGUUUCUUAAGUGAGUCUCACAUGACUUUUUUGGUUUCCCAGUGCAUAUAAAAGUUAUGUUUACACUACUGUAGUCUAAUUAAGUAUGCUACAGCAUUAUGUCUAAAAAAAAACUAUGUACAUCUUAAUUUAAAAAUACUUUAUUGCUAAAAAAAUGCCAAAACAAUUACAAUAGUACCAUCAAAGAUCACAGGUCAGAGAUCACCAUAACAAAUAUAAUAAUUAUUAAAAAGUUUGAAAUAUUGCAAGAAUUACUAAAAUGUGACGCAGAGAUGCCAAGCGAGCAAAUGCUGUUGGAAAAAUGGUGCCAAUAGGCUUGCUCGAUGCAGGGUUGGCACAAACCUUCAAUUUGUACAAAGCACAGUAAAAUGAGAUAGAAACUAAGUUGGGGGCUUCCCUGGUGUCACGGUGGUUAAGAAUCCGCCUGCCAAUGCAGGGCACACGGGUUCGAGCCCUGGUCUGGGAAGAUCCCACAUGCUGCGGAGCAACUAAGCCCGUGCGCCACAACUACUGAGCCUGUGUGCCACAACCACUGAUGCUCAUGUGCCUAGAGCCUGUGCUCCACAACAAAAGAAGCCACUGCAAAGAGAAGUCUGCACACUGCAACAAAGAGUAGCCCCCGCUUGCCGCAACUAGAGAAAGCCCACGCACAGCAAUGACCCAAUGCAGCCAAAAGUAAAAUUAAUUAAUUAAUUAAUUAAUUAAUUUUUAAAAACUGAGUUGGUAUUAAUUCAAACUAGAUUGUUGUAAAUUUAAUGUGUUAAUUGUAAGCCCCAGUGUAGCCACUAAGAAAAAACUAAAAAAUCUACAGAAAAAGAAAAUGAAGAGGGAAUCAAACAGUAUAUGAAGAAAAAAUUAGUUCAACACAAAAGAAGGCAGUAAUGGAUGAACUGAGGGACAAGAAAGACACACGGCAUAUGGGAAACAAAUAGUAAAAUAACAGAAGUCCUUUAUUAUCAGUAAUUAGUUUACAUGUAAAUGAAUUAAACUCUCCAAUUAAAAGGCAGCAAUUGGCAGAAUGGAUAAAGAAACAUGAUCCAACUAUAUGCAGCCUAUAGGAGACUCUAGGUACAAAGACAAAUAGGUUGAAAGUGAAAGGAUGGAAAAAGAUAUUCCGUGCAAAUUGCAACCAAAAGAGAACUGGAGUGGCUACACUUGCAUCAGACAAAAAAGACUUUAGGUCACACUGGUACAGGAGUCAAUGAGGACACUAUAUGUUGAUAAAGGUCAAUCCAUCAGGGGGUAAAACAACUGUAAACAUAUACUCACCCAGCAACAGAGCCUGAUCAAAAUUAGCAUCACUGGAGAAGGAAAUAAACAGUUCUACAAUAAUACUUGGGGACUGCAAUACCCCACGUUCUAUGAUGGGUGGGACAGCUAAACAGAAGAUCCGUAAGGAAACAGAGGAUUUGAACAACACUCUAAAGCUGACAGACACAUCAGUCCUUCACCCAACAAUGGCAGAGUAUACACUCUUCUCAAGUUCACGUAGAAUAUUCUCCUGGAUAGACCAUAAGUUAGGCCUUAAAACAAUUCUUUUUUUAAUUUUAAUUUUAUUUAUUUAUCUUUGGCUGUGUUGGGUCUUCGUUGCCGCACGCGGGCUUUCUCUAGUUGCGGCGAGUGGGGGCGACUCUUCGUUGCAGUGCGCAGGCUUCUCAUCGCGGUGGCUUCUCUUGUUGCGGAGCACGGGCUCUAGGUGCUCAGGCUUCAGUAGUUGUGGCGCACAGGCUUAGUUGCUCCGCGGCCUUUGGGAUCUUCCUGGACCAGGGCUCGAACCCGUGGCAGGCAGAUUCUUAACCACUGUGUCACCAGGGAAGCCCCAAACAAUUCUUAGUUAAAUAGAUUGAAAUCAUACAAAGUAUCUUCCCUGACAACAAUGAAAUGAACCUAGAAAUCAAUAACAGAAGGAAAAGUUGAAAAUUCAAAAAUGUGUGGAAAUUAAACAACACAGCCUUAAACAACCAAUGGUCCAAAGCAGUAGACACAAGGGAAAUUAGAAAAUAGUUUGAGACAAGUUAAACAACACACCAGGACUUAACGGCAUGAAAGCAGUUCUCAGAGAGCUCUUUAUAGCUGUAAAUAUCUUUAUUAAAAAGACAAAAGAUCUUAAAUCAACAGCUUAACUUUACACCUCAAGGAACUAGAAAAAGAAAAGCAAACUAAAUUCAAAGCCAACAGAAGGAAGGAAAUAAUAAAGGCUAGAGCCAAGAUAGACAAAUAGAGAACAGAAAAACUAGAAUCAACAACACCAAAAGUUGUUUCUUCUUUGAAAAGAUAUGAAAAUUGACAAACCUUUAGCUAGACUGAAUAUGAAAAAAAAAGAGAAAAUACACAAAUUAAUAAAAUCAGAUAUGGAAGUAGGGACAUUGCUGUUGACCUUGUAGAAAUGGAUUUCAAAGGAAUACUAUGAAUAAUUAAACGGCAACAAAUUAGAUAGCCUAGAUAAAAUGGAAAAUUCCUAGAACAGAUCAACUACCAAAACUAACUCAAGAAGAAAUAGAAAAUCUGGAAGGACUUAUAACAAUUAAAGAGGUUGAAUCAGUAAUAAAACAAACCUCCCGUUAAAAAAAAGAAAGAAAAAGGACCAGAUUGUUUCACUGGUGAAUUCUGCUGCACAUUUAAAGAAGAAUUAACAGCAGUCGUUCUCAAAGUCUUUGAAAAGAAUGGAAGAGGAUGGCAUCCUUCCCAACUAAUUCUGUGAAGUCAGCAUAUUACCGUGAUAUCAAAACCAGACAAAGACGUCACAAGGAAACUAGAGGCCAGUAUCCCUUACGGAUAUUGGUGCAGAGGUCCUCAAGAGAACACUAGCCAGCUAAAUCCAGUAGCAUGUUGGAAGCAUGCACACCAUUUACCAAGUGAGAUUUGUCUCAGAAAUGCAACACACAAAAAUUAAUUGAUAUAAUAUAUCACAUUAGGGACUUCCCUGGUGGUCCAGAGGUUAAGACUCCAGGCUUCCAUUGCAGGGGGCGUGGGUUCAAUCUCUGGUCGGGCAACUAAGAUCCCACAUGCUAUACGGCACGGCCAAAAAAAAUGAAAUUAAAAUUUUAAAAAUCAAAAAACAACAACAAAAAAACUUGGAAGGCUCAGGAAGUGCCUGGAAACCCAACCUUGAGAUGACCUCUCCAAGGUUGUUGGCUUGCAGAUUAAGAACCACUAAGUAAAGGGAGAGGCUCUCAGGGUCUCUGGGAUAAAG